ACGCUCGACACCUACGGAAGGCAGCAGUGGGGAAUAUUGCACAAUGGGGGAAACCCUGAUGCAGCGACGCCGCGUGAAGGAAGAAGUAUCUCGGUAUGUAAACUUCUAUCAGCAGGGAAGAAAGUGACGGUACCUGACUAAGAAGCCCCGGCUAACUACGUGCUAGCAGCCGCGGUAAUCUGAGCGGGCUGGCAAGGC
rnacentral:rRNA from 1 species